CGAACCGGGGGAACUGAAACAUCUAAGUACCCCGAGGAAAAGAAAUCAACCGAGAUUCCCCCAGUAGCGGCGAGCGAACGGGGAGGAGCCCAGAGCCUGAAUCAGCAUGUGUGUUAGUGGAAGCGUCUGGAAAGGCGCGCGAUACAGGGUGAGAGCCCCGUACACAAAAGCGCAUAUGCUGUGAGCUCGAUGAGUAGGGCGGGACACGUGGUAUCCUGUCUGAAUAUGGGGGGACCAUCCUCCAAGGCUAAAUACUCCUGACUGACCGAUAGUGAACCAGUACCGUGAGGGAAAGGCGAAAAGAACCCCGGCGAGGGGAGUGAAACAGAACCUGAAACCGUGUACGUACAAGCAGUGGGAGCCUCUCUUUAUGGGGGGUGACUGCGUACCUUUUGUAUAAUGGGUCAGCGACUUAUAUUCUGUAGCAAGGUUAACCGCAUAGGGGAGCCGAAGGGAAACCGAGUCUUAAUUGGGCGUUAAGUUGCAGGGUAUAGACCCGAAACCCGGUGAUCUAGCCAUGGGCAGGUUGAAGGUUGGGUAACACUAACUGGAGGACCGAACCGACUAAUGUUGAAAAAUUAGCGGAUGACCUGUGGCUGGGGGUGAAAGGCCAAUCAAACCGGGAGAUAGCUGGUUCUCCCCGAAAGCUAUUUAGGUAGCGCCUCGUGAACUCAUCUCCGGGGGUAGAGCACUGUUUCGGCUAGGGGGCCAUCCCGGCUUACCAACCCGAUGCAAACUGCGAAUACCGGAGAAUGUUAUCACGGGAGACACACGGCGGGUGCUAACGUCCGUCGUGAAGAGGGAAACAACCCAGACCGCCAGCUAAGGUCCCAAAGUCAUGGUUAAGUGGGAAACGAUGUGGGAAGGCCCAGACAGCCAGGAUGUUGGCUUAGAAGCAGCCAUCAUUUAAAGAAAGCGUAAUAGCUCACUGGUCGAGUCGGCCUGCGCGGAAGAUGUAACGGGGCUAAACCAUGCACCGAAGCUGCGGCAGCGACACUUUAGUGUUGUUGGGUAGGGGAGCGUUCUGUAAGCCGUUGAAGGUGUCCUGUGAGGGGUGCUGGAGGUAUCAGAAGUGCGAAUGCUGACAUAAGUAACGAUAAAGCGGGUGAAAAGCCCGCUCGCCGGAAGACCAAGGGUUCCUGUCCAACGUUAAUCGGGGCAGGGUGAGUCGACCCCUAAGGCGAGGCCGAAAGGCGUAGUCGAUGGGAAACGGGUUAAUAUUCCCGUACUUGGUGUUACUGCGAAGGGGGGACGGAGAAGGCUAUGUUGGCCGGGCGACGGUU
rnacentral:rRNA from 1 species